UGCCGGGUCGUCUAAUGGUAGGACAGCAGACUCUGGAUCUGUUUGUGAGGGUUCAAAUCCUUCCCCGGCAGCCA
rnacentral:tRNA from 1 species